CUACCGACAGAGGCGUUACCGUAGGAUAUCGCAGCCCUCGAACAUCUGGUUGUUAGUGCCGUCGAAGGAACAAUUCUGUGGUGAUCCCAUUACAUAUCAAACCUAGAGAGAGGAGAAUUUUCGUUAAGGAUAUUGGCGGGGAGCUGUCCGGUAGCCAUCUUGUGACGAGUGGGUUGCGGCUUCGUCAAAUUGCAGGGGAAUCUGGAGAAGAAAACGUUUCAUAUACGUGAAAGCAAGAACAGGGGAAAAUCUAAACUUUGAUGGAAGUCUGAAAGGAUGGAAUCCAUCGUAAGCAAAGAGUGAGCCGAUCUUCACCAAGGAAGCACGGAGUUAAUAAACGCCUAACCCACAAACCCAACUAUACAGGGCAAUGCCGCCAGUAGUGAAGCGGCACGUUCCAGAAUCAAAACCGGGAGAACCAGUGGAGGGGUCUGAACAUGGCACAGAAACUGGAUACCACUCCUUGGUUCACAGUCCUGGGACAGAGCCGUCAUCAUUUAUUGAAGGUGGCUCAGUGACCCCAGUCUCAGAGGAGCCCGAUACAGGCACAGCUGUACCACCCAAGAGCACUGCUGAGGAACUUGGCGAACGACUCAUGGAGACUGCUGAUACUAUGGCCCAUGAUAUGGGAAUCCCAACAGCAGCUCUAAUUGCCAUCAUUGUUGGUAAGUAUAUUUUUACUUUUAGCUGG